GAAAUGUUGGUCUUCACUAAAGGUGUGACUUAAUUCAAUCCUGGCUUCGAGGACCCUGGGAGCAGGAAAAAACAUCUGAGUUCAUCAAGACUCUUAGCCCUGCUAGGAGUCAAGGGAAUGCUCCAUAACUCAGUCAAUAUGCCCGGAGAGCUUGGGGAAGCAUUUAGAGAAAGGACACCCAGGCAAGGAUGACCAACAGGAUGUAAAGUUCAGAUGUUUUACCAGGGCUCUGAGGCCUUUGGGGCUGUAGGAAGCCUCCUGACUUCUUCAGAGCCCCCUACAUAUUCCAAGUUCCCAGUAUUUAAAUGAGUCUUGCAUCUUGGUCGGGGAAGCAAGCUUUUGCUAGGUAGCCAGGCAAUGCUCUACACACCAUCAAACUAUACUGCUAGUCCCAGCCUUAGUACAUGGUGGAAGAUCAUACCUUCCACAUGAAUCUGGGAGAUGAAGGGCUGGAGAAAUGUCAGGCUUUGGGUCCUCUGGCAAUCUCAAGUUGACACAACCAGCCUCCUGAAUCCAAGAGCCUUUUGGAGCCUUUGGGAAGCUCACCACUACCCAGUCAGGGAAGGGAUGAAGGAAUGGGCCUUUGGAAGGCAAAGAUCCAGGAUCUGGCUGGCUAGUCAUGGGUUCUGCCUCUUUGUGUGUGACAAUCGAAGCUCCAACUGAUGAGCUAUGGGCUUUGCUGGGUGCUAUUGGCCACUGCACUAGUAAUUAACAUGGUGGCUGCCUUCAGGUGUCUUCAGACCAAGAGAGGAGAGACAGGAAGCAAUGGAGCUGAGCCUGAGACUAACCCUGACAAGCUGUCUGGAUGUUCUACAGGAGAGGUUUAUUGACGUGAACCUGGCUUAUGCAAUGCUGGGGAUGGAAACCAGGGCUUCAUGAAUCUCAAGCCCUUGAAAAUACCUUUGAAAAAAAUAAAUCCUAUCAUAACUGGCAGUGGUGGCCUGUGGGAAGAGGACCUGAGGACAUCAAAUAGAUGCAAAUGAAGUUCUGCAGGUAGUUAUAUGCCUUUGUACUCCACACGGUCUGCCUUCUAAAACAAAUGUACUAUGUAUGCAAAAAUAAACAGACUACACAUAACCCUUCAACUCAACUGUUCAGUUUUCUAGCUCACAGAAAUACAUAAAUACACAAAGAUAGUACAAGAAUGACCUUAUGUCCAAAUGGGAAAAUUCUGGAAGCAUUUUAUGUGCUUAUCACUAAGUAACUGUUUAAAUAAAUGGCAAUACAUCCCUCCUGUAGAACACCACCCAUCCAGUAUGAAGUGAGCCUGUAACAUAGCAGGAGGGACUUGAGUUCAAGACCAAAAUGGGCUGCAUAUCAAGAUCUUGUCUCAAACAAAAACAAAUGAUACUGAGUGAUCAAAGACUAGAGGGCGCCUCUAAUGUCUCACCUGCAAAGACUACAAAGACAAAUGUAAGAAAAAGAGCAAAUUAUAAACCAUAUAAAAAGUGC
rnacentral:lncRNA from 1 species